CCCUCAUGCUGAUGGCGGCACUGGAGAGGUGAUUGUCAUGGUACUCCUGCGCGAUAGUUUCUUAGCACUUCAGUGUGUGGGUCUGUGGCCUUCCAUUCUAUGGGACUCCAGUGGCAUCAAGACACGUAUCUACGUAGCAUACACCAUCUUCAUGGUGAUCAUUAUCCACUGGUUCACAUUUUCGGAAUCCCUUAGCCUCGUGACCGAAGAAGUUGAGGAUGUUCAGGACUUCUCCAAUAAUUGUUUCAUGCUGUUGUCUAUGAUAAGUAUUUGUGUGAAGGCCAUUGUAAUAUUGUCCAGAAGAUCUGAAAUUAUCGGAUUGCUCACGGCUCUGGAGAUGUAUCCUCAUAAGCCAAUCAGCAGGGAGGAGGUGACGAUACAAAAUGAUUUCAAUCAGCAAAUCAGGUUAUACACACUCCUCUACGCUGGACACUUGGCAGUAUUUGCUUGGCUCAUCAGCAUCCUGACGUUCUUUCAGGGAAUACCCUUUGGGGUUUUACCGUACAAAGCCUGGAUACCUUACGAUUACUCAGAUCCCAUUGUGUACUGGUUCACGUUUAGCCUACAAGUGUUCAGUCUCUUCGCUGGUGCGAAUAUGAACAUUGGUUUUGACACUGUUGUACCCGGAUUCUUCAUGCAGAUCUGUGCGCAAUUCAAUAUCUUAAAGUGCAGACUAAGAACGACUAUUGAUGAAUUUGAAAAUGUAGUUCUAUCGGUUCCCGAGAAGACCACUUCAGAGUCAGCUGAUGUUUACGAGAGGCGAAUUAUUGCUUGCGUGGAUUUUUAUCAGUCUGUUCUUGAGAUGUCAGAAAAGGUAAAUUCCAUCUUCAAUCCCAUAAUUUUCGUACAGUACUCGGCGAGUUCAAUAAUUAUAUGCGUCAGUGUUUUCAUGAUAUCCCAAGUUCCACUUUUUUCACCGCAAUUCAUGUCUCUAUUCAUGUACGUUUCAUCGAUGCUCCUGCAGAUUUUCAUGCUCUGCGCAUUUGGAAACGAAGUAACAAUUGAAUGUGAAAGCCUGACAGUCAGUAUUUACAAUACCAAGUGGUAUACCUUGACGAAUCGUGCCCAAAAAUAUCUAAUUCUCAUGAUGGCUCGAACGCUGAAACCAGUCGUAUUUAUGAGCGGACAUAUCAUCACUCUUUCAUUGAACUCGUUCCGAAAUCUCCUGAAACAAUCCUACUCGGCUUAUACGUUACUCCAACAAUUUUCUGAUUAAUUAUCACACGGGUUUGAAAAACUAGAGGGAGAUAUUGUUAUUAAUGAAACAUAGACGAAUAAAUGCAGAAACUCGUCAUGUUUCCAAGUUAUUCCCAUGUUGUUAUACAACAAACGACAUAACAAAUCGCAAGGUCCAGUGGCGAAUUUUACAUCAAUGUAUUUCUUCACCUUAUCAGCUCUGCGUUUGAAUCC